rnacentral:ncRNA from 1 species
AAAGACUUAGUCCUAACCUUACUGUUAGUUGUUGCUAGAUAUAUACAUGCGAGUAUCCGCGCCCCAGUGAGUAUGCCCUAGGUACCCUAGCCUUAGGUCGAUAGGAGCGGGCAUCAGGCAUACACUCAAUCGUAGCCCAAGACGCCUAGCAAUUGCCACACCCCCACGGGUAUUCAGCAGUAGUUAACAUUAAGCAAUGAGUGUAAACUUGACUUAGUCAUAGCAAUUCAGGGCCGGUAAAUCCUGUGCCAGCCACCGCGGUCUUACAGGAGGCCCAAACUAACUUUAUAACGGCGUAAAGUGUGGUAGCAUGUUAUCCAAGUAACUAAGAUCAAAAGCAGCUGAGUCGUCACAAGCCCAAGAUGCACACUAAGACCGCUAUUCAAAGAAAAUCUUAGACCAACGAUUAAUUGAAGCCACGAAAGCCAGGGCCCAAACUGGGAUUAGAUACCCCACUAUGCCUGGCCCUAAAUCUUGAUGCUCGAUCUAACCGGAGCAUCCGCCUGAGAACUACGAGCACAAACGCUUAAAACUCUAAGGACUUGGCGGUGCUCCAAAUCCACCUAGAGGAGCCUGUUCUGUAAUCGAUGAUCCACGAUAUACCUAACCACCCCUUGCACGAAACAGCCUAUAUACCGCCGUCUCCAGCCCACCCACCAUGAAGGACCAACAGUGGACGCAAUAGCCAUACCACGCUAAUAAGACAGGUCAAGGUAUAGCCUAUGAGGUGGUAGUAAUGGGCUACAUUUUCUAAGAAAGAACAUAACGGCAAAGGUGCAUGAAACUGCCCCUAGAAGGCGGAUUAGCAGUAAAGUGGGACCAGCGAGCCCUCUUUAAGCCGGCUCUGGAGCACGUACAUACCGCCCGUCACCCUCCUCAAAAGCGACCCCAUCACCCCAUAAAUAAUAAGACAUUCAGCCAAAGAGGAGGUAAGUCGUAACAAGGUAAGUGUACCGGAAGGUGCACUUAGAACAU